rnacentral:rRNA from 1 species
UGGGGAAUAUUGGACAAUGGGCGCAAGCCUGAUCCAGCCAUGCCGCGUGAGUGAUGAAGGCCCUAGGGUUGUAAAGCUCUUUCACCGGUGAAGAUAAUGACGGUAACCGGAGAAGAAGCCCCGGCUAACUUCGUGCCAGCAGCCGCGGUAAUACGAAGGGGGCUAGCGUUGUUCGGAUUUACUGGGCGUAAAGCGCACGUAGGCGGACUUUUAAGUCAGGGGUGAAAUCCCGGGGCUCAACCCCGGAACUGCCUUUGAUACUGGAAGUCUUGAGUAUGGUAGAGGUGAGUGGAAUUCCGAGUGUCGAGGUGAAAUUCGUAGAUAUUCGGAGGAACACCAGUGGCGAAGGCGGCUCACUGGACCAUUACUGACGCUGAGGUGCGAAAGCGUGGGGAGCAAACAGG